CCCUUAGAUGUUCUGGGCCGCACGCGCGCUACACUGACGAAUGCAACGAGCUUAUAACCUUGGCCGAAAGGUCUGGGUAAUCUCCAAAUUUCGUCGUGAUGGGGAUAGAUUAUUGCAAUUAUUAAUCUUCAACGAGGAAUGCCUAGUAAGCGCAAGUCAUCAGCUUGCGUUGAUUACGUCCCUGCCCUUUGUACACACCGCCCGUCGCUCCUACCGAUUGAAUGGUCCGGUGAAGCGUUCGGACCGUGGCCUUUGGACGGUUCGCCGUCUGUUGGCUGCGGGAAGUGCGUUAAACCUUAUCAUUUAGAGGAAGGAGAAGUCGUANCA
rnacentral:rRNA from 1 species